GACGAACGCUGGCGGCGCGCCUAACACAUGCAAGUCGAACGGAGCUGAGAGAAGCUUGCUUUUCUUAGCUUAGUGGCGAACGGGUGAGUAACGCGUGAGUAACCUGCCCUGGAGUGGGGGACAACAGUUGGAAACGACUGCUAAUACCGCAUAAGCCCACGAUCCGGCAUCGGACUGAGGGAAAAGGAUUUAUUCGCUUCAGGAUGGACUCGCGUCCAAUUAGCUAGUUGGUGAGGUAACGGCCCACCAAGGCGACGAUUGGUAGCCGGACUGAGAGGUUGAGCGGCCACAUUGGGACUGAGACACGGCCCAGACUCCUACGGGAGGCAGCAGUGGGGGAUAUUGCACAAUGGGGGAAACCCUGAUGCAGCGACGCCGCGUGGAGGAAGAAGGUUUUCGGAUUGUAAACUCCUGUCGUUAGGGACGAUAAUGACGGUACCUAACAAGAAAGCACCGGCUAACUACGUG
rnacentral:rRNA from 1 species